UACCAGCACCCCGAGUGGUCGGGACGAUUAUUGGGCCUAAAGCAUCCGUAGCCGGUCCUGCAAGUCUUCCGUUAAAUCCAGCUGCUCAACAGAUGGGCUGCGGGAGAUACUACAGGGCUAGGAGGCGGGAGAGGCAAGCGGUACUUUAUGGGUAGGGGUAAAAUCCGCUGAUCCAUAGAAGACCACCAGUGGCGAAGGCGGCUUGCCAGAACGCGCUCGACGGUGAGGGAUGAAAGCUGGGGGAGCAAACAGG
rnacentral:rRNA from 1 species